GCUCAGGAUGAACGCUGGCGGCGUGCUUAACACAUGCAAGUCGAACGAAGCACUUUAUUUGAUUUCUUCGGAAUGAAGAUUUUGUGACUGAGUGGCGGACGGGUGAGUAACGCGUGGGUAACCUGCCUCAUACAGGGGGAUAACAGUUGGAAACGACUGCUAAUACCGCAUAAGCGCACAGGGUCGCAUGGCCUGGUGUGAAAAACUCCGGUGGUAUGAGAUGGACCCGCGUCUGAUUAGCCAGUUGGUGGGGUAACGGCCUACCAAAGCGACGAUCAGUAGCCGACCUGAGAGGGUGACCGGCCACAUUGGGACUGAGACACGGCCCAAACUCCUACGGGAGGCAGCAGUA
rnacentral:rRNA from 1 species